GGUAGGGGUGCCCUAAAAUGACGGGCUGAGAUCAUACCCAUAGACCUGAUCCGGGUAAUGCCGGCGUAGGGAAAGAGAAGA
rnacentral:ncRNA from 1 species